rnacentral:rRNA from 1 species
GCGCAGCAGUCGAGAAUUUUUCUCAAUGGGGGCAACCCUGAAGGAGCGACGCCGCGUGGAGGAUGAAGGCUUUCGGGUUGUAAACUCCUGUCAUUUGGGAACAAGUUGGACGCAGUAACUACGCGUCCAUUGAUAGUACCAGAAGAGGAAGGGACGGCUAACUCUGUGCCAGCAGCCGCGGUAAUACAGAGGUCCCAAGCGUUGUUCGGAUUCAUUGGGCGUAAAGGGUGCGUAGGUGGCGCCGUAAGUGGGGUGUGAAAUUUCGGAGCUUAACUCCGAAACUGCAUUCCAUACUGCGGUGCUUGAGGACUGGAGAGGAGACUGGAAUUCAUGGUGUAGCAGUGAAAUGCGUAGAGAUCAUGAGGAAGACCAGUGGCGAAGGCGGGUCUCUGGACAGUUCCUGACACUGAGGCACGAAGGCCAGGGGAGCAAACGGGAUUAGAUACCCCUGUAGU